ACUAAACGCUGGCGGCGUGCCUAACACAUGCAAGUCGUACGAGAAAGUUGGCUUCGGCCGAUGAGUACAGUGGCGCACGGGUGAGUAACGCGUGGAUAAUCUGCCCUUAAGUGUGGAAUAACGUACCGAAAGGUGCGCUAAUACCGCAUAAUGCCUGGCAACAUAAGUUGUCCGGCCAAAGAAGGCCUCUGCUUGCAAGCUUUCGCUAAAGGAUGAGUCCGCGUACCAUUAGCUAGUUGGUGGGGUAACGGCCUACCAAGGCGACGAUGGUUAGCUGGUCUGAGAGGAUGAUCAGCCACACUGGAACUGAGACACGGUCCAGACUCCUACGGGAGGCAGCAGUGAGGAAUAUUGCGCAAUGGGGGCAACCCUGACGCAGCAACGCCGCGUGAGUGAGGAAGGUUUUCGGACUGUAAGCUCUGUCGAGCGGGAAGAAGUGUACCAUGGCUAAUAUCCAUGAUAUUUGACGGUACCGCUAGAGG
rnacentral:rRNA from 1 species